UACGUAGGCAGCGAGCGUUGUUCGGAGUUACUGGGCGUAAAGGGUGUGUAGGCGGCUCUCCAAGUUUGGUGUGAAAUCUCCCGGCUCAACCGGGAGGGUGCGCCGAAAACUGGAAGGCUAGAGUGCGGGAUGGGAGAGUGGAAUUCCUGGUGUAGCGGUGAAAUGCGUAGAUAUCCGGAGGAACACCGGUGGCGAAGGCGGCUUCCUGGACCGGUUACUGACGCUGAGGCGCGAAAGCUAGGGGAGCAAACGGG
rnacentral:rRNA from 1 species